AACGAACGCUGGCGGCAUGCCUAACACAUGCAAGUCGAACGAGACCUUCGGGUCUAGUUGCGCACGGCUGCGUAACGCGUGGGAAUCUGCCCUUGGGUUCGGAAUAACAGUUGGAAACGUCUGCUAAUACCGGAUGAUGACGUAAGUCCAAAGAUUUAUCGCCCAAGGAUGAGCCCGCGUAGGAUUAGCUAGUUGGUGAGGUAAAGGCUCACCAAGGCGACGAUCCUUAGCUGGUCUGAGAGGAUGAUCAGCCACACUGGGACUGAGACACGGCCCAGACUCCUACGGGAGGCAGCAGUGGGGAAUAUUGGAGAAUGGGCGAAAGCCUAAUACAGCAAUGCCGCGUGAGUGAUCAAGGCAUUAGGGUUGUAAAGCUCUUUUACCCGGGAUGAUAAUGACAGUACCGGAAGAAUAAGCUCCGGCUAACUCCGUG
rnacentral:rRNA from 1 species